UACGUAGGCAGCAAGCGUUGUUCGGAGUUACUGGGCGUAAAGGGUGUGUAGGCGGUUGGAUAAGUGUGGUGUGAAAUCUCCCGGCUCAACUGGGAGGGUGCGCUACAAACUGUCUGACUAGAGUGUGGGAUGGGAAAGUGGAAUUCCUGGUGUAGCGGUGAAAUGCGUAGAUAUCAGGAAGAACACCCGUGGCUAAGGCGGCUCUCUAGUACGGUACUGACGCUGAGACGCGAAAGCGUGGGGAGCGAACAGG
rnacentral:rRNA from 1 species